GGGUUGUGAGGUUAAGCGACUAAGCGUACACGGUGGAUGCCCUGGCAGUCAGAGGCGAUGAAGGGCGUGCUAAUCUGCGAUAAGCGCCGGUAAGGUGAUAUGAACCGUUAUAACCGGCGAUACCCGAAUGGGGAAACCCAGUGUGACUCGUCACACUAUCAUUAACUGAAUCCAUAGGUUAAUGAGGCGAACCGGGGGAACUGAAACAUCUAAGUACCCCGAGGAAAAGAAAUCAACCGAGAUUCCCCCAGUAGCGGCGAGCGAACGGGGAGGAGCCCAGAGCCUGAAUCAGCAUGUGUGUUAGUGGAAGCGUCUGGAAAGGCGCGCGAUACAGGGUGACAGCCCCGUACACAAAAGCGCAUGUGCUGUGAGCUCGAUGAGUAGGGCGGGACACGUGGUAUCCUGUCUGAAUAUGGGGGGACCAUCCUCCAAGGCUAAAUACUCCUGACUGACCGAUAGUGAACCAGUACCGUGAGGGAAAGGCGAAAAGAACCCCGGCGAGGGGAGUGAAAAAGAACCUGAAACCGUGUACGUACAAGCAGUGGGAGCACCCUUUGGGGUGUGACUGCGUACCUUUUGUAUAAUGGG
rnacentral:rRNA from 1 species